rnacentral:lncRNA from 1 species
CUAAAAAGAAAAAAAAGCAUUAAAUGCACCAGAGUUGCAAAGAGGCAAUAAUAAACAUUGAAAUGAUAAAUUACUAAAACAACUUUAGGCUAAGAAUAAAAUAUAAAAAAAAAAACACAAAAGUUUGGAUGCACACCGUGCAGCACUCCAAUUCAUGCUCCAAAAUUUCUAAAAAAGAAACCAAUUGCAUAAGCCAAGAUUUGGUAGCUAUGACCAUGUGCACAC